CUCUCUCUCUCUCUCUCCCGCAAGGUCCGUACAAAUCCACCCACUAAAGGCAAUAAGAACCUUUUUUUUGGGAGAAAAAAAUGAGAUAAAAUCUCAAUUCCUUCUUUCCCUUUUAAAGCUGGGUAGCACAAAACGACGAAUCCAAACGCGUUUCAUGCUUGUAAUGGCAAUAGAGAUGAUAAUAUCACUGUUAUCCUCCAUAACAGACCUGACAUUUGCAGAUUUAUUACACUGAUUUUGUCUCUCUUACUCGUAUGCACUCAGUUCUGAGUUGAAAACAGCGCUUGGGGGGAGAUUCUGAUACAGAAGCUCUGAUUUUCUGCCAUCUUUUUAUGUUUGGUUUCUCUGUUGCCGUUUUGGGAUUGGGCUGGAAAAUUCUCUGUAUCUGUAAUCACUGGAUCUGAUGGUUUUUUUCAAGUGGUACUGACAUUUCGUUACUGUUAGUGGGAGAAUCUGAGUUUCUGCUUUUCUGGGUUCUGCUUGGUUUUGAGUGUGCCCAAUUUGCUGCUCUUUUUACAGCUUCUGAAAAAUAAGAAGAAGAUAUUCUGCCGUUUCUUUUUUUCUUUUUUUGUAAGUAAAUUGCUAAACUUAAUUUUGGCGAAAUAAUUAUGCAUAAUUUAAUGCAUUUUCUUUCAAUACUAAUCUUUGAUUUUAUUUCCCAUGAUAUUCAGUCAAUCUUGAUUGUUUUCAAUUAAUGGUUUCCUGUCUUUAGUUCCUUCACUGUUUGAAAGAAAAAAAGAGUUUUGAAAUCAUUAAAUCUCUUCUCAAAACCCCAAAUUAUAAUCAAUCUAUCCGUAUAAUCUUUCCCUUGUUUGCUGGUUCUUUACCAAAUAAUACUCUCCAAUUCCUUCUUAAUUUGCUCUGUUUUUUAUUUCUCUUUUUUUAACUGACCUUUUCGUCUGAUCUUUUAUAUUUUUUCACCAGAUUGAUUUUUUCCCCUUUAUCAAGUCCUCUAAUGACUCUCUUCAAUUUACAGGUUUAAACUAAAAAAAUUGCAGAAGACCCAGACCCCUUCCAAUGUCACUCACUGUGAAACCUCAUCUCCAUUAUUACAACAACAAAACGGGCAAACCCACAUCAACAAACAGAGAUUGGACACAGAUCUAUGCAAUCUAUGGCAUGGACCAGUGGCAAACCUUGUUCUUCCUCUUGUGUCACGCCAUUUUCUUCUCCAUCCUAUCCAUUCUCUUCCUCUUUUACUUCGAUCCAGUCUGCAAUCUCUUAGAGACUGGUGUUCUUCUUUUCACCACCACUACCAGCAGCACUGGCGCCGCUCGCUUCGUCGCCGGAUUCACCGGGUGUGUGACAGCGCUGUCCGCACUUUGCCUUUUCUUCGCAGCCGGGAACUUCUUUUACAGCUCGGUGGCGUUGCAUCAUGAUAUGGCACAGAGGAUGGUAAGUUAUGUGAAUGAUUGGUCUUCGGUUAAAUUGGCUCUUGAUAUUGGGUGUGGUCGUGGGAUUUUGUUGAAUGCGGUGGCUACCCAGUUGAAGAAAACUGGGAGCUCCGGCCGGGUUGUCGGGUUGGACCGCUCUAAACGGACCACUCUGUCCACUCUCCGAACAGCUAACAUGGAAGGUAGGCGUUCUUCAAUUUAUUAGUAAUAAAUUUGGAAUCUUGUUUUAUAUCAUUUUAUAACUAAUUAGAAACUUAUCUUUUCUUUAAUUUUCUUUAUUUAAGUUUUGAAAAUUGAUUUAAUUAUGAAUUCUGUAAACAGGAGUAGGAGAGUAUGUUACAUGUAGAGAAGGUGAUGUGAGAAGCUUACCCUUUGUAGACAACUAUUUUGAUGUGGUGGUAUCAGCUGUUUUUGUUCAUAAAGUAGGAAAAGAAUACGGCCAUCGGACGGUGGAGGCAGCGGCAGAGAGAAUGAGGGCAUUGGGUGAGAUGGUUAGGGUUCUGAAAUCUGGUGGGAUAGGAGUGGUGUGGGACAUAGUACAUGUACCGGAAUACGUCCGGCGAUUGCAGGAG
rnacentral:misc_RNA from 1 species